CAAAAACAUCCAUGUGCGUGUGUGUGUAUGUGUGUGUUUAACAAUCUGCAUUCUCAGCGGCACCGCCGCCACCCCGGCAUCGCCGGCCUCAUUACUGGGAGCAGGAAAUGAGUAAAACACAAAUGGCUGGGGAGGAGGCAGGAGGGGCCGCCCCGCUCCCGGCCAUUGGGGCUGAUGGGAGCUGCCGCGCCUUGGUGCAGAUGUCGCAGCCCUCAAAUGUCUGCCGGAAAUUACAGCUCAUGUCGGGCGGGGAGACGUGCGCUCCCCCGGCUGGGGAGCCCAGCGGGAGCCCCCCUGCCCCGGGCCGCCCUCCCCGCGCUGGGGUCGGCAACUCCCGCCCUCGCCAAACCCAGCUCGUAAAUUAGCUCGACUGGAGAAAAAUGCACGUAGGAAAAUGUCUCGGAGCACGAAAAGGAGGAAAAAAUAAGGAAAGGGGAAAAAAAAGAGUAAAAAUACUUAAAAAAAAAAAACCCAAACAACAAGUACUCUCCGCCUGGAGAGAGUCGUGGCAGGGCCGGGGCCUGCUGGGCGGGCAGCCCGGCGGGGAGGCUGCGGCUGCCGCCAUUGCAGGAAGGCGGGGAGGAGCGAGGCGGUGCCCCCGGUCCCGCGCAGGCCGGCAGAGCUGCCGGGAGAGGCCGCUCCCCUUCCCUCGGCAGCUCGGAGCGUUUCCCAGAUAAUCGCUGCAGCGAGGGCCCUGCGUUGUGAGGGCGGCGGGGACCGACCUGCUGCACACCCGCGGCAGGGGGAAAGCCGGCGUGCCGUCCUCGGAUCCCCAGUCCUCAUAGCGGCGACCGCCGGCAAAAGGCUGGGAACGUGGGAAAGUGAGCGGGUGUGCGCAGCGAAACAGGUUACAGGAGGGUGUAGCUGCAGCCUGUGUGAAUUUUCUGAAGUCUGAGAAAAUAGUCCUGUUGCAACCUACUUCCAAGCAUGACUGUCAUCCUGCCUAGGAAUGGGAAGGCAGUUUCAGGCAAUGAAAGCAGUGUGAGAAAAGAGAUGGGACAAGACUGCAUUGCCACUUGGGAAGAUUGCAAGGAUGAUUGAAAGUGCUGUUGAACUGGGAAGAGCCAGAAACUGAACUGCUCAUUGUAUGCAGCUGGAAGCCAUGGUGAACAUUCUGCAAAGGCCUUCUACUGGGAGAUGACUCUGGUCACUGUUCCUUCCAUAGCAGCUGGUCCCUGUAAGACACUGAACCCUCAACACCGCUUACAAAUGUGGCUGAGGACCUGAAAGAAAUGCUGGUGCACCUGAUAUACUGUUCCACGAGUCUUGUGAGAUUAACAGCUUGUAAAUGAUGGCAUACCUGGAAUAAGUUCCCUGUUGGCACUCCUGGGCAAUAUAUAAGAAGAAAAUGUGCAUCUUAGUACAGGCACACUUAAACCACAUGAAGGAGACCUGUAUUUUUGGAAUGACAGGUCCUCCUCCAUGUCUGGAGCAUGACCUAGUUGGUGACUGAGAUAUCUGUUGUUUAUAGGCAAUGAUUCCUCAGAAACAAAUCAACUAAAUGAACAAACUGGAUGAUAAAGUAGAACCGAGAACUGCAUUGUGCUCCUCAGAGUCAUAAAAAUUCAUCCCUUUUACAACUGCUGAGUGCUUUGCCAAUAUCAUGCCAAGGUGAGAGCAGUUGGGGGAAGGGAAGGAUAUUGAAAAGGAAAAUAAAUA